AGUGAACGCUGGCGGUAGGCCUAACACAUGCAAGUCGAACGGCAGCACAGCAAGAGCUUGCUCUUACGGGUGGCGAGUGGCGGACGGGUGAGGAGUACAUCGGAAUCUACUUUUUCGUGGGGGAUAACGUAGGGAAACUUACGCUAAUACCGCAUACGACCUACGGGUGAAAGCAGGGGAUCUUCGGACCUUGCGCGAUUGAAUGAGCCGAUGUCGGAUUAGCUAGUUGGCGGGGUAAAGGCCCACCAAGGCGACGAUCCGUAGCUGGUCUGAGAGGAUGAUCAGCCACACUGGAACUGAGACACGGUCCAGGCUCCUACGGGAGGCAGCAGUGGGGAAUAUUGGACAAUGGGCGCAAGCCUGAUCCAGCCAUACCGCGUGGGUGAAGAAGGCCUUCGGGUUGUAAAGCCCUUUUGUUGGGAAAGAAAAGCAGCAGGUUAAUACCCCGCUGUUCUGACGGUACCCAAAGAAUAAGCACCGGCUAACUUCGUG
rnacentral:rRNA from 1 species